rnacentral:lncRNA from 1 species
CCCAACAAAUAUAAUACCCGAAACCAAACCCAACACAAGAGAAACUCCCAACAACCCCAAACUCAAAGGAGUAGACACUGCUGAUGACGUCUGCGACCCCGACGUCUGCGACCCCGACGGCGACGGCGGUGGCGUCCCACCAGCCGGAUUACUUGAGUUCGACGGCGCCAAUGAUGGCGCAUUACCAGGUGACGAUGGAACCGCCGGCGGUGACGUGGAAGGGGAGGUUCCCGGCGGGGGAGAUACUCCUGUUGGAGCAUUAGCCGCAGGUGGCUGCGAUGACGGUGACGUGGAGGGGGAAGUUCCCGGAGCCGGUGACAGCCCAGUUGGAGCAUUAGCCGCAGGUGGUUGCGAUGACGGUGACGUGGAGGGGGAAGUUCCCGGAGCCGGUGACAGCCCAGUUGGAGCAUUAGCCGCAGGUGAUUGGGAUGAUGAUGGUGACGUAGAAGGUGAAGUUGCCGGCACCGGAGAGUACCCUUUUGGAGGAUAAGGCGAAGGCGCAUGAGAUGAUGGUGACGUGGAAGGUGAAGUCGCCGGCACUGGAGAGUAUCCUUUUGGAGGAUAAGGCGAAGACGUGGAAGGUGAAGUUGCCGGCGUCGGAGAGGACCCUUUAGGAGGAUUAGCCGAAGGUGCAUGAGAUGUUGGUGAGGUGGAGGGGGAAGUCGCCGGCGGCUGUGUGGCCGGAGAAGGAGACUUAGGAGACGGGGCAUGCGGUGGAGGUUUCGUGGUGGGGGGUCCAGUUGAGGGAGGGGGAGGCCUUUCAUGCAAAACGACGACGAUUAAUUUCUGUCCCUUUUGGCAAUGAUCAUGGUUUCCACUUAUGAAAUAGAAAGGACCCGAACGAUCAAGCUUGAACUCUGAGUCACCCGAAUCCAGUUUCAGCAAAGGCUUCUUCGUGUUGCAGCUGUCGUAAUCAUCUUUGUUCACUAACAACACCGAGUCUGAUCCUUUCUUGUACUUGAAAACUGCCAUAAAUUAAAAAAAAAAAAAAAAUCGAAAUCAGCAUUCUUUCAUUAGAUCGUCACCCCCAAACACAGGUUAAGCAGUGAUAUUCAAACAGAAAAUCCUCAAAGAACGCUGACAGAAACAGAGUAAACCUUAAGACUUACAGAGGGUAUCAUUGACGAGGAACCUGUUUCUCCCAGACCAUUUGUUGUAAUUUUCUCCAGGGUUUGUAACCCAGCCGUGUUUGCCACCCACGUUGAAUUUGAGUGCGUGAGAGGAAGAGAUGAAAAAUGCAAAGAGAGCCAAGGAAAGGCAAAGAGAUUUCUGAAACUCCAUUGAACAGAAAUGUGCUCUAGACUUGUGUGUUUUCUGUUUUUAUAUAGCGAUGAAAGUGAUAUAGAUAUGUACGAUGACCCAGAAGCUUCACAGAAAAUCUGCCAAUUGGAAGUUUUUAUUGGUAUUGCUUUUUUACUUGGGAAGUAAAAGAUUUUGGAGAUUUGAUUGGAGAAGGAAAAUCAGAGAUAAGAAGGAAAGUGAAGAUAGAGGCAGUGGCGUUGAUAUAUAAAGAGAGAUUCAGAUUACCGUUUGAAUAGUAAUAGCAAUCAAUCAAUGAAUCCCAAAACUUUAUUAGAGUCGAGCCAGGUGAAGUUAUUGUUUGUCUGCUUAUUAGUCUACGCCUAGUAUUUGGUCUUCUGUUUCUUUUUACAGGUGGCAAAAUCAGAGAACGUGAACGUUGAUCAUGCAAUUGAAAUUAAUGUAGUGUCAAUUGUGGGGUAGAUUGGAGCCUCCCAUGUGUCUCUUCGCACAACCGUGUGAUACACGUUUCAAUUGUAUCUUAAAUUUGUUCAUAAUCAUACGGUACGUAUUUCACUCGAGCUAUUAACUCUUAAUAUUUAGGGGCUUGGAUGAGAUGAAAAACUUCACUCACUAAGCACACACUUAUCACAACUCCUCUCCUAUUAGCACUAAAACUCAUGUGAUUGCACUCACAAUUAGCCGAGCUAAAUUUGGAGGCUAAAAUGUUAAUCUUUAUGAUCAUCAAUACAUUUUAGUCGGCCAAAAUUGAUUAUAAGACUUGUUCUUCCCGUUGAACUAUUAAUGCCUCUUUGUCCGUUGGUGUUGACUUCACAGUUAUGCAAGAUUGGACCAGCUCAAGUCGAAGGGCUCAUAUAUCCAGUGCUUGGCCCCAGGAGUAGACAGAUAGUCUGUUCAUGGCCACCAUUAGUCCUUUCACCAUAAAUAAUUAAACCAUGCUUUGGUGUAGGGAAAGUUUACUGAGUCUCAUAGCCUUUGGGUUAAAAUGAAGGGUGACCCUCCAAGUUUUUAUGACUUUCAUCCUGAAUUAAGUGGCUGUGGUUCUCUUACAUAGAACACAGGAGUAGACGAAUGGUACCUACUCUCAUCUACUGUUUAGUAGAGUCUAGGACAACGGGUGCGCUAUGACAUUCAUGUACCUAUCUAUAUCUACUGAAGUCAUAACAUGCAUGCAUGUGUGUGUGUGUGUGUAUAUAAAAAUUGUCCGCUAAUUUUGAAAAUUCAACAACAAAAGUGUGGAAAAGGAAAAAAAGUGUAAUCUGCAGGAAAUGAAUGAAUAUGGUCAAACAAUCUUCAACCCUCGAGUAAAGGAAUCCAAGAACUAUAACAAGAGCCAUAAUUUUGAGUUUCUGUGUGUGUAUUCAGCUACCUCUGUCACUACUCAUAUGAAAUGUACAUUAUAGGUGGGAAAAGGGUGGUGUCGAGGGCUUGUGUGAACCAAAUACCCCGCAAACAAACAACUUUUUUCACUCAAAUGGAAUUCACAUGAUGCACCAAGAAUUCCCCACCCAGUUCAUAUGAAUGAAAUCAGCCAUUCCCUCAAGAGAAUGUGUAAUAUCAUAAAAUUAAAAAAAAAAGGGAAAACAAAAAGGUCUCUUCAAAAGUCAUACUUUGUUCUCCCACUCAUCAAGAUGAGACACAGCAUAUCUGAAAUGUCAGAAGAAGAACUGAAGAAGUUCCAAGACUCGAGCAUUAGGCGUUUCCUUGAUCCCUUGAAAUGAACAACCUAUACAAUAAUAAAAUCAAUAUUUUAAAAUAAUGCACACUUGAAAACUUUUAUGUGACAGCAAGAGGAAGUCAUAUGAAAAAAACAAAAUAUUUAAACUAAGCAAUUGAAUUUAGAUAUUCAAGCAUACCUUAACAUCCAAAGGCAUUCCAUGAAAUUGGCCUGCACCCUCAGGUGGUGUCCAAUUGUACGUAGCGCAUGGUAGAAAUAGCACAGAAGCUCCAAUAAUGUCUUCAACAAAGGGCUGUGCUUUGGUAAAUCUCCUUGCAUCAAAAGAAGGGUGCGAUUUUACAACCCAGGCAAGAGCUAACUGGUCACCGAGCAUUCUGGAGGCAUUCAUGUAUUUGGAACUGUAAACCCUUAAUACUUCCUCAAGAAAUAUCUUCGCCCUGAAAUCAAUUUCAGGUUGUAAUUUUCUCAAGUGAAUUUUAUUGUCAUUAUUCAUACAGCCUUUCAUGCACCAGGAAAUUGUGAAGGAAGGACCCCAAAAAAAAAAACCUCAAGAAAUAUCUUCGCCCUGAAAUCAAUUUCAGGUUGUAAUUUUCUCAAGUGAAUUUUAUUGUCAUUAUUCAUACAGCCUGAAGGAAAUAGGAAAAAGACAAGAUUGGUUCCCCAAAAAAAAAAAGAAGGAAAUAGGAAAAAGACAAGAUUGGUUCAUGUAUCUUAUAAUCUGUAACGAACUAAUGGACCAAUAACUCCAACCAAUGACCCACAAAGAUUUGCAAGAUAUAGAUUUCAAUUUCAAAGUCUCCGUAACGGACAAUAGAAACAUUUCAAACUUUUUUCCACCACCUAAUUUUAUUCUAGUAGAAAAAGCCUUGCACAGAAGGAGAAAAUUAGGCACCUUGAAAUCCCAUCUGGGGUGCCCCUGACAGCAAUAAAUCCAGAAUUCAGAGGUUGAUCUUUAUUGUUUCUGAAAGUCAGAGCCAGAUGAAAGUUUUGGUAAUCGUGAAAUAUAUGUCCUAAGUCGUCAACCACGGCUAUAUCUGAGUCAGUGAAGACAUAAUGAUUUAUAUGCCCUUGCCCCUGAGAAUGCUCCCGAAUUCUUCUUUCUAGAAAAGUCUGCAUAAACAGAAUAACAUUGAAACAUAAAAUUCAAAACAGUGCCCUCAUAGUUCAAGAAGCAAAAUUCUUGACUAAUUAUUUUAUCAUUGCAAUCUUAAUCGUUAAGCAAAAUAAGACAAUUUUCAACGAUAUCUUCUGAUAUGAAUAAGUAACUAUUAACUCUUUGUGGCAAAUGCAACUAGGGCAUAGAAUGUUCUUCUCGCAAGAAAUGAGACCAAAAGCAAAAUGAAUUUAUUUGUGAGUCUGCACAAGAGUUUGGUGAGGGGGCAAAAGAAAAACUACAAUGAAGGAUUGCUAGGGGGAAAAUAAGUAGAAAGAACAAGAAAAAAAAAAAAAAUCUUGAAAGGGAACAUAAAAUACAAAUGAAAAGCUGGUAAGAAAGCUGCAGAAAUAUACAUAGAUAAAUUAAGACAUUAUAGACAAUUUCUGCAAAUGAUUUUUAUUUCUCAGAAAUAUGAAUGAAAAACAAAAACAUUCUACCUAUUUAUCAGUGCGAUUUGCUCUUACAAUGUAAGACCUGAUUCUUUGAAGCAUCAAUUUGUCUCGUGAAUAUUCACCAUGAAUGGGAUAUAUGGUGACCCCUUUUCUGGGCAUUGAGAGGUCUGAAGCUGGAUCAGUCAGAAUGAAAACAUCACUCUUGGGCAUUGUCACCUGCAAUAAUUUUAUGUUUGAAGUCAUGAAUUAGUAAAAUUUGAAAGCUGCAAACCAUACAGGUCCAUUAAUAGAUGACAUAGCUCUCAAUUCUACUAUGUUAGACAAAGGUAGUUAUGACAAUAAGUAAAUGUAAAUAUAAUUAUCAAUGAUAAGAGUUCCCAAAUACACCAACAUAAAGAUCGCUCUUAAGUUUUAGAUGAGUCAUCCCAAAGUUGCAACAAUAGAUGCUAAAAAUAGUAAAGCUCAAAGUUAAUAUCUGAAUUACCAUGUAAAAUCAAUGAACGUUAUUCUCAGAUUUUUUUUUUUGGAUAAGAAACAUGAACUCUACCCCAGUUUCUGAUGGAUUUGUCAAAGACUUGCCUGAAUAAAGUUAAUGAAGACAUUCAGUAUCGCCAUUGACCUCUCUGUCUUACUAUAUGAAGCAUUUCCAACUGUAACCAUGUUUGAUGCUCUGCUAUCUACAGGAACAUCAAGUGAUGUGUUAUAAAUUGUGAAAACAGUGACAAAGGAAAUGCUAUUUCCAAUGCUAGAGGCUUGGAAAGAGGUCUUGUUGAGAGCUUUUAAUCCUGAGACAGAAAUCAUGGAAUAAAACCUUCAGCAUUAGUAUUGGUAGUAAAACCACUUGACCCAAAAGCUUAAAUUGGUAGGCAAGAGCCUGAUAAUUGUGUUAAAGACAAGUUUUGACAAGUACAAUUAAAGAGGAUGUUUCCAUAGAUUAUGUCAUAUGACCACCAAAUGAGUGAGAGUAUAAAUUACAAUGUGAGAUUUAAAAGGCCUUCACAUCCAAAAAUAUGGAAACUUCUCAAUAAAUAAACUCUAAACAUACACAAUAUGAUCCAAUUCAUAAUUUGAGCAUUCACAUACGUGUUUAUUGGCGGAAAAAGGCUACGGAACUGCAGGGCCAGUUUCAAUUGGGAGAAAAAUACCAUGGAGCUAAUUAGCCAAUCAAUUUCAAAUAUGUUGAAACCACUAUUUUCAAAUUUAAAGUAGAUGAUCAACAGAUAAUAAUGGAUUAAGAAGGAUUUCAUUUUAGAAAUCCAAAAUAGAAAUAGUAAGUCUAUAUUAGCAGGAAAUACUAGCAUAUUAUUUACAAGGACAAUGAACCUACCUUGGCAUUGCAAACGGUUAGGCAACCGUUGGCCAGCAGCUGGACCAAGAAUCAGAUGAUCAAACUUCUGUCUAUUUUUCCUGGGAAGAUCUUCUACAACCGACUUUUCAUGCAAUUCCAGAACUGAAGAUGGACACCAAUCAUUAUUCAAGCAAAAAUUCCCUUUAUAAAUAAAUACAACAUUGAAAUGCUGUAAACGGAAUAAUUAGAAGUAGACCAAAACUAUUACCUGAUAACAGAUAAGGGAGGAAGAAGACCAAAGGGAGAAAGAAAAGGAAACGGCGACAUCCACCACAUGCUCUCAUGCCUAAGCUUCCUUUCAAUGGACCAACUGACUCAAAGAUCAUCUCCAGCACAAAUUGAAUUGAGAAAAAGCAUAAAAUGCACAGUAUGUUUCCUUCGAGUGCCAACACUCUAGUACCUCUACAGCAAUACCAAAUGAACAAAACUCUAUAACAUAAUGCUCAUAUAAACCAUCAAAGCUUAAAGAAGAACAAAACAGCAACUCAAAUUAAGCUGAAAAUCACGGAGGAAUCUAAUUCUACACCGAUCCUACUGCUAAUAUAUACAUAAUACCAUUAUCACAGACAAAAUGCAGAUGAAGCAAGUGCAAGAUCAAAUUUUGCUUUCAAUCGCAUUAUUAUAGCUAUUAAAAGUAAAUACCCAGUUCAUAAAAAGUAAUUUUCUGGUUCUCAGUUUUAUAAAUUCGCGAUACUCAUGAGCAAUUUCCUACAAAACUGAAAAUUUAGAUUGAAUAAUGCAAGAGCUCUAAAAGUUUAACUUGAAUGAACAAAGUUCGGGCAAGAAAAUACUCACCCAGAUACAGAGGAAAAAGAAAAAAACGUUGAUGGCUACAGAAACUGUGCACUUGACGGUUGACACGAGAUCUGGUUACGGCUACUGAGCUUCCAGCCUUCCAUGAUGGUUUUGAUUAAAUAAAUACUCUUUGCUUCUGUUAUUAAUAAUGUCAUAGAAGGAGUAUGAAACUAUGAAACCUAAUACAAAAUGACAAUGAAAUGACGAUAUUAACCUUGAUUCGUCUAAUUACAUGCUUGCCGAUGGUAAUGGGGAGGGGAGACUAUUUGUCCUUCUAUCCUUCUGUUUCCAUUGGAAUUACACGAGAGAAAGGAAUAGAAGUCUCUAAAGAGUACACAAUUCCUGAAUGACUAUUAUAUCUUUAAUUUUUGAACAUAAUUUAACUAUAUUAAAAAUAAAAAAAUUUAAAUAUAAAAUUACGUCACUAUUAAACUAAGUCAAUGCUGUCAAUAUUACAAGUCAAUCUUUUAAACUUAUCCCCAAAAAAAAAAAAAGCGUGAUAAUAUUUCUUGCAUUACCUGUUACAAAAAUCAAACAAUUCAAAUCAUGACAAAAUGACCUCCUCGAUCUUCAUUAAAUAAUAGUGGCAAGUUACGUCAAAGUCUUGAUAUUAAAUAAUAUCUAUAUUUUUUUAAUAAAUAUUGUGAUAUUUGUUAUUACACUCAUAUUUUAAAAUUUAAUUUAAAUUUAAAUAUAUUCACUAACAAUUUUAAAAAAUAAAAAAAUGAUAAAGGAGAAAUUAGCAGGGGAUGACUUUCAUCUAAUUCUCAUUCCUUUCUCGAAUAAGAUAUUAGAUAUGAAAUGGUCCAUGCCCUUCCUCAUAUAAAAUAAUUCCCUCACUAUAUUCGAAUGGCAAAAAUCCCAGCAUUUCCUACUAAUAUAUUUUAAUUUGAUACUUUGACUUAUUCCAAAUGUCUAUUUUCAUUUAAAAAGAAAAAUUAAGACCAAUCAAACACAUCUCAAAUUCCAUCAUAUCAUAAUCCGGUUCUGAGAAACAAUGAAAAUUAUGUGAUCAAGUAACUUCAAAUUUCUAAAACUUUCCCAUAAAAUUAUAAAAUAAAUAAAUAUAUUUUUAAAUGAUGCUAUAGCUUGGGCCGCCGCCGGGCACCAUAUGAGGGUGUCAGGCUAGGGCUUUACAGAAAUAGCCCAAGCCCGACGUAAGACUGGUGUUUAAAAUUUUAAAAAAAUUGUACCAAUUUUUAAUGUUUAAUUAUAAUUAAACCAAGUGCCUUAUUAUAUAACUAAUACAAUUUAUUAGUGAUAAUGAUACGAUAACUGUAAAAAUCUCAUACGUUUCUAUUAUUUUGUUUCAACAAAUACACAUAUGUAUAUGGAAUCGCACAAAUUUAUUUCCAUAAUUUGUAUAAAUGAUUAAUAUACUUUUCCAUAUAGUUUUACUUAAAACAUUAUUUGUUUCCAUCAAUACUUUCGUUGAUUUCAUAUAAUGUACACACACACACACACAAAUUUUUCUACUAUUCGUUAUACAUGAAUACAUUUACUGCACUUAAAUAUUUCUAACUUUAAUUGCCCUUAAAACUUAUGUAAAUAUAAUUUCAAUAUCAUUCUUUGAUAAUUUAGCACCCAAAAACACUUUUUAAAAUAAAUUAUUUAAAAAUUUGAUUCUCCAAUAAUUUAUUUUUGUACUAAACAUUAAAAGUUACUAGGAUUAGCUUUGGAAUAUCAGAUUUUUUUAAAAAAAAUCUGAUAUUAGAAUCUGCAAUACCAUUUUUAUCCUUAUCUUAGAAACAUAUGUCCAAAAAUACCCAUGCACUAAUUUACGUAAUUUAUUAAUAUUUAGAAAAUUUAAUUUUUCAAAAACAACAAAAUACCAAAGCCAUCGCCGGUGCCAGCAAUGUCUCUGUCACCAUCAUCAGCGUCUAGUGGAAGUAUUCCUAGUGCGACACCACAAACCCUAUUAGACUUCAAACUAUCUUCCGUACACAAUGGUUAUGCCGUGGUUAGCGGAGAAGAAAUGAUGGUGUGUCUCCUGUGUUCCUGAAAUAAAAUGGCUACUAUAAUGCUGCCAUGAAAAGGAGACAAAUAAAGGUAAGCUGCCUGCCACUAUCAUCUGAUGGAUUGAUGAUGAUAAUAAUAAUAAUAUACUUAUUUAAUUAAAAAAACAAUUUUUAUCUAUUGCAUAUGUGCUUUAUUUGUUGAUAAAAGAUGAGUUGUUAUAAUUUCAGUAAUUAUUUAAUAAUUAGUUUGAAAUUUGAAUAAAAAUACCAAUUUCUUAACAAAAUGUGGAUAUUUUAAUCAUUUUACACAGACACCGUAUAUUUAAGAUCAAUUUACCAAACAUUUAUAGCAAAUUUAUUGGGAAGUAAUUAUUUUGUAAUCUAAAUUUACCAAACAAGCAACCAAAUUAUUAGUAAAGUUGAUUAUUUCAAAAUCUAGCCUAAAAUAGAUUAUUUGGGAAGCAAAAGCAAUCUCAAACAUACCCUGGCUUCCAUAUAUUCAUCCAAGAAGCAAUGUUUAUGGUUUAAUAUGUUCAUUCUCCUUAGAGAUGACAAUAAAAUCCGGAUUCGGCCUGCAUCCGUAAGGAUCCAUAAAAUAUGGAUCCGCAAAAAUUCAGAUAUGUAUUUUUGAAAAUGCGGAUCCGGAUUUGAAAAACUAAAACCCGCACGGAUUCGGAUAUAAAUCCAGAUGCACUUGCAUGUGGAAAACUGGAUAUCCAGAUCCGGUUGGUUUUUGUUUUAAAUUAAAAUAUAUUAACUUAAAUUAAAAAAAAAAUCUAAUCCCUAGCUGUCAGUGUCGUUCGCUUCCUUCAUUCAACUUUCAUACACACACACUCACCUCACCAACAGCCGUAAGUCGUAUCCCUCAAAUCUCGCUCUCAACUGGUCGUUGUCUUCUGUCGCCUCGCUUGAUUUGUCGUUGAAGCCUCGUUGUCCAAGCCUUGCGGUACUCGUUGAAGAAGCCUCGCUGUCGUUCAACCCUGGCCGUGUAAGCCUCGCCUGAUUGGAAUUAAUUUGUCAGUAAUUUUUUAUAUUUGAUUUAUGUUGUGAUAUUUUUAUUUAUGGAUUUAUGUUGAUGUUAUAUGUUAUUUAUGUUAAAUUGUUAAUUGUUGGAUUAUAAUUGAAUUUUAUUUGAUAUUAUUAAUUAAAUUUUUGAAUUUUUAAAUUAUAUUUUAAAUUAUUUAAUUUUAAGUUUUUGCGGAUCCGGAUAUCCGGAAUAUCGGCCCACAUCCGGAUAUGAAAAUUUUGCCAACCCUAAUUCUUCUUCAGGUUUUAUGUAUAAAUUAAUAAGCUCCUCUCAAACUCAGGCCUUGCAUUUUCUUUAUCUUAGCACCUAAAUCGCCCAUCCAAAUUAAUUUACAAUCUCUUCUUUAAGUCUUCUGAUUCUUUUUUAUUUAUUUAUUUAAAUUAAAUUUACUUUAGGUAUUUUAAUAGCCCUAAAAGAUACUAUUACUUGUCAUAGUGUAGCUAAUAAAUUUCAUCCAGAUAUAUUAUCACACCAUAUAGCGUUAGUGUUUCUGUUCAAUUAACUAUUAUGCCAUAAAAUGUAAUAGCCUGAAUGAAAUUCGCGUUUAGAUACUCGUACUUCAGAAUUUCUAUUCAAGCAUUGGUUCCAGAUAUAGUUUAACGAAGUGAGAGUGGAAUUAUUUAAUGGUUUGUAUAGAUUUAUUGGUUUAGAUCUCCGAUGGAUUCGUGUGUGGGUAGAAGCAAGUCUUCAGACAAAGCAACUGCUAAGUUGAUGAAUAACAAAGUUUUACUAGAAAAGUCAAUAGCCUCUUAGACCUAAAAAAAAAAAACAAAUUGCGGUAAUCUUACGGUGCUGAACAUUUCUUAUGGGAUCUUGUGAAGGAAUAUGUGGAAGAAAAUGGAUUGAAUGUAAUAGCGUGGCUCAAAUAAGUGAGUAGAUAUUGUUUACUUUGGACAUACAACUUAUUACAAAAUUGAUAGUGCUACCUCGAGUUCUCCUACCGUCCUACGAGAGGACUCAAUACAAAAUCUCUUCCCACAAAUGUGGGAGAGAGGAGAUGUUCUUUUAACUUUUAAGGUGUGUGUUUAGAUCUUAUUUCUACGAGAUGUAAAAUUUUAAAUUAUGCUGCUUUAAGGGCACGUUUGG